UGCCUGUCCCGGUAUGUCAUCAGUCUGUAAAUCAGUAGUUGUCUUUUACUGUUGUAUAUCAUAUUUGUUUUUCCCAUUGUUUUGUACAUAAAUCAGGGUGUUUGUUUUCUCUUUGAAAUGCUUGUAUUUGUCAUUUUGGGCCUUUUAUAGCUAACUAUAUGGUAUGGGCUUUGCUCAUUUUUAAUGGUAGUACGGUGACCUAUAAUUGUAGGUCUGUCAUAUCUGUCUCUGGUGGAGGUUUGCUGCAUUGGCAAUCAUACCACAUUUUCUUUACUUAUAUGGAACAUAUGGUUUAUCGAGUAUUGCGAUAUACAGGUUGCAUUCAACUGUUUGAUCAUAUGCAUACAUAGUUAGGAAAACCCCUGGUUGCGCAUCGUUUUACUUGCAGACCAUGGUUCUUGAUGUUGUGUGUUGUUUAAUUUAUGGUGUUGUAUUUCCAUCAGAUCAUAAUCCCUUACUUUAUUCAUAUCAAUUUAAAUUUUUUUUUUCAUAUCUUUAUUAAGUUGAUUAUGAUUGCAGUUUUAAAUGUAACAUCAGUGUUUAAUAUAAAAUGGUCAUAGUUGAUAAAUUAAAAGGAAACAUCUCUUCUCUUACUGUAGAAGGUAUCUGUGAUAUGUUCAACGAUGUGAACAAAUACAAACAGUAAGUGUUGUGUCUGAUCGAUGAUGAUUCAAUUUCAGAUUGAGGUUAUUUGAACAGAAAGUAAUUUGACUUUGCUUAAGUAAUCAUGCGAUUUCAGGGUUAUAAACUAUCAAGGAGAAAAAAAGGAAAGUCUAUAGAUAAUUGUAGUCUCAAUAACAAGUCAAAGCUUAUCACGCGAGAAUUAUGACUACAAUGAAUGCUAUUGUGUUGUUUUGUCUGUUGUGUUUUCUUCUCUGUAGGAUUGUUUCCUACGAUAUACUAUUAUGAAGGCAAUGUAUCGCGGUAAUACUUCCAAAUGAGCUCUUUUUAAGUCGAAUUGGUUAAUUAAAAGUUGUCGAUCUACCACGAUUACAAAUUAUUAUUCAAUAGAAUGUGUACGCCUAUCCAUUUUUGAAUUCAGGGUUAUAUAGAUAUGGGGCAGGUUUUCAUGAACAUUAAAUUUCUUGAUACACAGUUUUUUUUUCGAUAAACGAACGUCAAGAUGUUCACCAAACUAACUUUCAUUCAUAUUUUAUAAAUGAAUCCAGUCCUAUGUUCAUGAUUUUUUUUCAAUUUUUGUGUGGAAACCAAAGAUACCA
rnacentral:lncRNA from 1 species